rnacentral:tRNA from 1 species
GGCGGAUGUAGCCAAGUGGAUGAAGGCAGUA